GCCGCCUUAGCUCAGUUGGCCAGAGCAACGCACUCGUAAUGCGUAGGUCUCGGUCGAAUCCCGAAGGCGGCU
rnacentral:tRNA from 1 species